CCCGCACAAGCGGUGGAGCAUGUGGUUUAAUUCGAAGCAACGCGAAGAACCUUACCAGGUCUUGACAUCCCUUGCAAAGCUAUGGAGACAUAGUGGAGGUUAUCAAGGAGACAGGUGGUGCAUGGUUGUCGUCAGCUCGUGUCGUGAGAUGUUGGGUUAAGUCCCGCAACGAGCGCAACCCUUAUUGCUAGUUACCAUCAUUAAGUUGGGGACUCUAGCGAGACUGCCAGUGAUAAACUGGAGGAAGGUGGGGAUGACGUCAAAUCAUCAUGCCCCUUAUGACCUGGGCUACAAACGUGAUACAAUGGCUGAAACAAAGGGCAGCGAAGCAGUGAUGUGGAGCGAAACCCAAAAAAGCAGUCUCAGUUCGGAUUGAAGUCUGCAACUCGACUUCAUGAAGUUGGAAUCGCUAGUAAUCGUAGAUCAGAACGCUACGGUGAAUACGUUCUCGGGGUUU
rnacentral:rRNA from 1 species